rnacentral:rRNA from 1 species
UACAGAGGUGGCAAGCGUUGUUCGGAUUUACUGGGCGUACAGGGAGCGUAGGCGGUUGGAUAAGCCCCUCCGUGAAAUCUCCAGGCUUAACCUGGAAAGUGCAGAGGGGACUGUUCAGCUAGAGGAUGGGAGAGGAGCGCGGAAUUCCCGGUGUAGCGGUGAAAUGCGUAGAGAUCGGGAGGAAGGCCGAUGGCGAAGGCGGCGCUCUGGAACAUUUCUGACGCUGAGGCUCGAAAGCGUGGGGAGCAAACAGG